UGUUGUCUGUCCUCCUGCAGGGCCUGACGGGAGCCAAAGGGGAGCCGGGACCCAUCGGCAGGCCCGGAGUUAAAGUGAGUGCAGAGCUGCUCCAGGGCUGUGAUCCUGGCUCUGCAGGGCCACCCCCUCCUGUUCCAGCUCCUGACUCUCCCCUUUUGUCCCUGCAGGGCCAGCCUGGACUUCCAGGGCCACCGGGGCUCCCUGGUCCUUCCCUGCCAGGACCACCCGGGCUUCCAGGCCAGGUUGGGCUGCCAGGAGAGAUCGGAGCACUGGGACCCAAG
rnacentral:lncRNA from 14 species